rnacentral:rRNA from 1 species
UACGUUCCGGCCUUGUACACACCGCCCGUCACACCACGAAAGUGGGCAACACCCGAAGCCGGUGGCCCAACCCUUUGGGAGGGAGCCGUCGAAGGUGGGGCUCGCGAUUGGGGUGAAGUCGUAACAAGGUACCC